rnacentral:lncRNA from 1 species
CUAGGCCAGCCAUGUGACUGCCUUCCUCCCCUGCGGGCAGCAGCUGAGCAGCUACGGCAGAAGGAUCUGAGGAUUUCCCAGCUGCAAGCGGAACUCCGACGGCCACCCCCUGCCCCUGCCCAGCCCCCUGAACCCGAGGCCCUGCCUACUAUCUAUGUUGUUACCCCCACCUAUGCCAGGCUGGUACAGAAGGCAGAGUUGGUACGGCUGUCCCAGACACUGAGCCUGGUGCCCCGGCUGCAUUGACUGCUGGUGGAGGAUGCUGAGGGUCCCACCCCGCUGGUCUCAGGGCUGCUGGCUGCCUCUGGCCUCCUCUUCACACACCUGGUGGUCCUCACGCCCAAAGCCCAGCGGCUUCGGG